rnacentral:rRNA from 1 species
GAUGAACGCUGGCGGCGUGCCUAAUACAUGCAAGUCGAGCGAACAGAUGAGGAGCUUGCUCCUCUGACGUUAGCGGCGGACGUGUGAGUAACACGUGGAUAACCUACCUAUAAGACUGGGAUAACUUCGGGAAACCGGAGCUAAUACCGGAUAAUAUAUUGAACCGCAUGGUUCAAUAGUGAAAGACGGUUUUGCUGUCACUUAUAGAUGGAUCCGCGCCGCAUUAGCUAGUUGGUAAGGUAACGGCUUACCAAGGCAACGAUGCGUAGCCGACCUGAGAGGGUGAUCGGCAACACUGGAACUGAGACACGGUCCAGACUCCAACAGGAGGCAGCAGUAGGGAAUCUUCCGCAAUGGGCGAAAGACUGACGGAGCAACGCCGCGUGAGUGAUGAAGGUCUUCGGAUCGUAAAACUCUGUUAUUAGGGAAGAACAAAUGUGUAAGUAACUAUGCACGUCUUGACGGUACCUAAUCAGAAAGCCACGGCUAACUACGUG